rnacentral:rRNA from 1 species
AUGGAAAGCCCCAUCCCCUUAAAGAUUAAGAUCUUUGUUUGGCAAUUACUACGAGAUCGCCUCCCCUCGGGGACUGAGGUACUUAAGCGGAACGGUCCUGGUGAUGGUAUUUGCCCUCUAUGUGUGGUACCAGAGACCGGGACCCAUAUCCUCUUCUCAUGUAUCGCGGCGAGGAUACUCUGGACGUAUGUCCGCGAGGCGUUGGGGCCUGAAUAG